rnacentral:rRNA from 1 species
GAUUAAGUUAUUAAGGGCGCACGGUGGAUGCCUUGGCACUAGAAGCCGAUGAAGGACGUUACUAACGACGAUAUGCUUUGGGGAGCUGUAAG